AGCAGCCACCUUUUAAAACGCGUCAAAGCGUAACCUUAACCCCCAAAAUUCCAUUAAUUUUCAUGAACCCCUAAUUUAUAAUGAAUGACUCCAUAUUUAUAUGGAAGACACCAUGCUAGGAUUAGUAACAAGAAUUUAUAAUUCUCCAAAAUGCAAAUAUAAACCAACAUGGAUGGACCAUUGGUAGUUACCGAACCUAAAUUUUAUGCAAUAACACCCACAAGAAAACUCUGCAGUACUUACUCGUUAACCUAACACCAGCGCAUUACAGGAAAGAUUUAAAAAAAGAGAAGGAAUUCGGCAAAUGACGGCCCCGCCUGUUUACCAAAAACAUCGCCUCUUGACUUAUAAUAAGAGGUCCAGCCUGCCCAGUGAAUUUUAAACGGCCGCGGUAUUCUAACCGCGCGAAGGUAGCAUAAUCACUUGUUCUUUAAAUGGGGACUCGUAUCAACGGCAUCACGAGGGUUUUACUGUCUCCUCUUUUUGAUCAGUGAAAUUGAUCUUCCCGUGAAGAAGCGGGAAUAAAUUUAUAAGACGAGAAGACCCCAUGGAGCUUUAAACCAAAUAACAACUUAACCACUUAUCCCAUAAUAAAUUUAAACCCUGUUAUAAGGUUUUUGGUUGGGGUGACCGCGGAGUAAAGCACAUCCUCCACGACGGAAAGAACAAAAAUCUUUAUUUAAGAACCACACUUCUAGAAAUUAGUAUACUAACGUUUACUGACCCGACAAUCGAUCAACGGACCAAGUUACCCUGGGGAUAACAGCGCAAUCUACUUCAAGAGCCCAUAUCGACAAGUAGGCUUACGACCUCGAUGUUGGAUCAGGGUAUCCCGGUGGUGCAGCCGCUACCGAAGGUUCGUUUGUUCAACGAUUAAAACCCUACGUGAUC
rnacentral:rRNA from 1 species